rnacentral:tRNA from 1 species
GGCCCAUUAGCUCAGUUGGUUAGAGCGUCGUGCUAAUAACGCGAAAGUUACGGGUUCGAUCCCCUCAUGGGCUA